UGAUCGUUGCUUGGCUGUAAGGACAGUUUCCAAAACCACACUGGCUCAGUCGCUACGACAACUGGAAGACUGUACUGGAAUUUACAGAGUUUCUAGUUGCCUUGUUUCUGGAGGACAAGAAGUCCCUCGUGGAUGGAUUUUGUAGUUACAACUUCUCUGUGAUGCAUCAGGGAUACAGAUCCCUGAGAAAGAGGACACCAAGGCGAGGAUUGAGAAGCAAAGUGUCCCCUACUGCUCAAAUCUGCACCCACAGUUGAUGUGGGGGCCUGGGAAAGAAGGCCGUCCUUGAAUUUUCAUUGAAGGCAUUAUGUAUUAUGUGGUGAACAUCACAGUCCUUUACGCCACGCUGAAUAGAUGCUUUCAACCGAAGGCAGAAGAUACUAGACGGCUUCCCAUUGCAAUGGACCACAUGUGCGUGGCUUGCUCUGCUGGAGGCGCUGUGUGGCCCAAGUCACAGAGCCAUCAGUCACGGAUUAUGGCUGCAAGGGGUGUCUGCACUUAAUCUCAUUUUUGAAUGAAUUAAUAUUAUUAGUUUUGACAAAUUAAUGGUAUUAGAUGUGCAAGGUGAGUAUGAAUUAUGUCCACAUCCACCUAUUACUAAAUGUGCCUCAUUCUUGCGUGAGAAAGCUUAUU